UACGAAGGGGGCUAGCGUUGCUCGGAAUCACUGGGCGUAAAGCGCACGUAGGCGGACUCUUAAGUCAGGGGUGAAAUCCUGGAGCUCAACUCCAGAACUGCCUUUGAUACUGGUAGUCUUGAGUUCGAGAGAGGUGAGUGGAAUUCCGAGUGUAGAGGUGAAAUUCGUAGAUAUUCGCAAGAACACCAGUGGCGAAGGCGGCUCACUGGCCCGAUACUGACGCUGAGGCACGAAAGCGUGGGG
rnacentral:rRNA from 1 species